rnacentral:rRNA from 1 species
AUUGAACGCUGGCGGCAGGCCUAACACAUGCAAGUCGAGCGGAGCGGCGGACGGGUGGGUAAUGCCUAGGAAUCUGCCUGGUAGUGGGGGAUGACGUCAGGAAACGGGCGCUAAUCCCGCAUACUAUCAGAUGAGCCUAGGUCGGAUUAGCGAGUUGGUGGGGUAAAGGCCAACCAGGGCGACGAUCCGUAACUGGUCUGAGAGGAUGAUCAGUCACAUGGGAACGGAGACAGGGCCCAGACUCCUAGGGGGGGGAGCAGGGGGAAAUAUGGGACAAUGGGGGAAAGCCUGAGCCAGCCACGCCGCGUGUGUGAAGAAGGUCUUCGGAUUGUAAAGCACUUGAAGUUGGGAGGCGUUACCAACAGAAUAAGCACCGGCUAACUCCGUCCCAGCAGCGCGGUAAUAC